AUGAUUAAGAUAUAUUAAACUUUGCCACCUCCAUUAUUAUCAACACCACCGCCACCAUAUUUAUUCCUGGGAAUGGAAUGGUGGUCGCAGCAAUUAUCGUUGUCGUGAUUCUUAUUAAAAAUUUCCUGCUGGUUUUCGACAAGGUGGCGGCUGCUCCAUUUCUCAGCUUCAUCAACAACCGAAUCUUUCUUGUUCCCAGCAAAGGAGGAUCCAACCAUCAUCAGGACUAGAGCAACCACUACUACAGUCUUCAUUCUUCCACUCUUUUUUGCUUACUUCUCUUUGUUUAAUUACCAAAAAACAAAGAAAAUUAUUCAUACUUCAAGAAAACUAACUAUACAUAUUCAAGAACUACAACAAAGAAGAAAAAAAAGAGAGUGAGAGAGAGAGAUUAUAUAUAUAUAUAUAUAUAUAUAUAUAUAUAGCUUACCCUAAUACUGAGCCAAGGGUCUGUGUACAUGGAGGAGAGGAAGACAACUCUACUCUCUUUUUAUAGAGAACCAUAUGAGGGAUUUCUGUGAUUAAGGCGGUGUUUGUUUGGCAUGAAAUAUUUUUCAUAUUUUUAGCUUUUGGAAUGCCUAUAAAAAUUAAUUAUAUUAAAUGUUUUUUAAAAAUAAAAAUUAAAUUAUUUUAAAAAAUAAAAAAUUAUUUUAUACAUUUUAAAAAUUUUAUAACAUAUAAAUUUAUUAAUAUAUUUAUUUUUUAAAUUAAAAUAAGCAUAAUAAUUUUUAUUUUUUAAUUUAAAUUUACUGUUAAAUUAUCAUUAAAAAUCUAAAUAAAGUUAUUAUUUAUUAGGAUUUUAUAGUGUGAGUAACAUUAUUUUCGAUUUAGUUAGACUUAUUUAAUUUUUUAAUAAUAAUUUAGAAAAAUAAAACAUAUUUUACCGGCGGUAAAAAUUAGAGGUAAAUUUGACCUAAUUGCUCUGGAGAUGGGAUCUGAUGGGUAAUAAUGAAAUGGGUUGACCAUAUAAUAUAAUAUUAAAAAAUGAUAAAAUGAUGAAUUUAAUGAAAUUUUAGUCCAUAUUGGAGAGAAUUUAUGGACAAAAUGAUGCCAUUCAUUACUAAUUACAGCAAGUUUGAUUAGGGUUUUAGUGUUGGCACUGUAAAUAGGAUCUCUAAUUCUCCACCUAGUGCUAUAAUAAUUAUUGUAUUUUAAUAAUUUAAUUUUUAAAUCAUUGUUUACUUCUUAACUAAUACAUUUUUUUUCUUCUUAUAAAAAAAAUACAUUUUUUAGCUUUAUUUUUUUUAAUAAUCAUGGUUUAAUUUUAUUUCAGAAUAUUGUGAUUUUUUUUUGUCUUAAAUAUAUAUGUUAUCUUUAUAUUGAGAAGUACAUUCAUAAAAUUGAUAAGAAAAAAAAAAAUAGAUGCAACAUACAAAAACUGAUUUUAAAAUAUAUUUAAUUUUUUUAAUUUAGUUAUACUAGAUAAAAAAAUGCACAUCUUAUCAUUUAAUGUUCAUAUUACUUUAAAAAAAAAUAAAUGCUAUUAAAAUAUAGUUGAUGUGAAUGGUACUGCGAUCGGUUAAAUUUGAAAAAAACAGAAUGUGAAAUGAUUAGCGCCUACAAUAGUCAUUCCAAAUAUGGUGAAUAUAGAACUUAAAAAUAGUUGUGUAAGAAAAUUUCAUAUUUUUAUCUCUGUGUUCGUUAGCCUAUAUACUGUAAAAAGAUAGAGUUAAUAUAAUUUUUUUUAAAAUCCAGUAAUAAUGUGAUUGGCUAUUUAAUAAAAAAUUUUAUCAGUUAAUCGAUUGAUGAUUUCGCGAUUAGAGACGUAAUAUUAAUUUGUGUCUAUUAAUGGUAAUUUUAUAUCAAGAUUUAAAUUUUUUAGAAAGCGUGAAUUUUGAUAAAAAAAAUUAAGUGUAAUAGUAUCCGAAUUAUUUUUUUCAGAUAAAAUUACAUAUCAGUUUAUCAAAUUCUUAUCACGUUUUAUAUUUUUAGAUACACCUUUAUAAUUUACAUCAUCAUUGUUAAAAAAGUAUGCAUUUUCAAAAAUAAAAAAAAAAAACCAACAAUUUACUUAUUUAAUUAAAAGCUAGCAAUUAGAAUUCAUCUAUUUAAAUAAUACAUACAUUUUCUCCUAGAUUAAUCAUUAAUUAAAAUCUAGCUAUGAAAAUAAUCUACUUAAUUUUCCAACAUAUUUAAAAAUUAUGGGAAAUUAUUAGGAUGUAUUUAGAGAAUUUUUAUCCAUAUUAGGAAAAAUAUAAAAUAAAAAGUCAAAAUAUAAGUAAUAAGAUUAUAAUAUUAAAUUUACCAAAGUUAUUUUUAAAUAAAUUAAUUUGUUUUUCAGUUGAAAAAGUUUUUAAAAUUCAUGUAAAUAAACUAAAAUAAAUAGUGUAUUAUAAUUAAGUUUGUCCCAUUAUAUUACUUUUAAUUAUAUAAUUCUCAUUCUUGAAUAAUAAUUUCACAAAAAUUAAAUUUAAUUAAUUUUUUUAACAUUUUUUUAUUUGGAAUAAACGAAUACAAUUUUUUUUAAUUUAAAAAAACUUUACUUUAAAAAAUAAAAAAUAUUACAUGAUUUUAUAAAUUUGUUAAUAAAUUUUAUUUUUUAAAUUAAAAUUAAAUAAUAAAAAUAAAUUAUCUUAUUUUUUUAAAAUAACAAUUAUUAUGAGACAGAAAUAAUAAAAUUUUAUUUAUUUAUAUAUGUGGUGUGGUUACAUAAGACAUACAUAAACAGUGGCGGAGCCAGGAGUUUCCCUUUGGUAGAGCACCGGCUGCGCCGCUGUGACACAUUCAUCCCCUUCAAAGCAUUUUUCGAUCGCCGGUAUGGCACGUACCUUUCCUCCGUCCCGUGUACAUAGACUAAAGCUUGAAUUUUGAAGAACUUGAGGCUUACCUCAGCUAUGAAUAUUAGAACCAGCAAACCUUAUCAAUAUUCCAAGGAAGAAGAAGAAACUCAACCCUUUUAUUACAAAACAUUAUUUUACCGCUUAACUAUGAUUUAAGAUAUAUUAAACUUUGCCACCUUCAUUAUUAUCGCCGACACCACCACCACCAUAACCACCCCUAGGAAUAGAAUGGUGGUCACAGCAGUUAUCGUUGUCCUGAUGCUUAUUAACUUCUUGCUGGUUUCCGACAAGGUGGCGGCUGCUCCAUUUCUCAUCUUCACCAACAACUAAAUCUAAUUUCUUGUUCCCAGCAAAGCAGCAUCCAACCAUCAUCAGUGCUAGAGCAAUCACUACUACAACCUUCAUUCUUGCACUCUUUCUUUUUUUUACCAAAACUAAAGAAAAUUAUUCAUAAUUCAGACAACCACAUACAAGAAUUAUCCAAAAAAAAAAAGAUUAUAUAUGAUGAUUGUAGCUUACCUU
rnacentral:lncRNA from 1 species